GACGAACGCUGGCGGCGUGCUUAACACAUGCAAGUCGAACGGAAAGGCCCUGCUUGCCGGGUACUCGAGUGGCGAACGGGUGAGUAACACGUGGGUGAUCUGCCCUGCACUUCGGGAUAAGCCUGGGAAACUGGGUCUAAUACCGGAUAGGAGCCAUUUUUAGUGUGAUGGUUGGAAAGUUUUUUCGGUGUAGGAUGAGCUCGCGGCCUAUCAGCUUGUUGGUGGGGUAAUGGCCUACCAAGGCGGCGACGGGUAGCCGGCCUGAGAGGGUGGACGGCCACAUUGGGACUGAGAUACGGCCCAGACUCCUACGGGAGGCAUCAGUGGGGAAUAUUGCACAAGGGGCGCAAGCCUGAUGCAGCGACGCCGCGUGGGGGAUGACGGCCUUCGGGUUGUAAACUCCUUUCGCUAGGGACGAAGCUUUUUGUGACGGUACCUAGAUAAGAAGCACCGGCUAACUACGUG
rnacentral:rRNA from 1 species